rnacentral:lncRNA from 1 species
AUGUCCACCAGUGUCACCGUGUCCGGGGGUGUCACCGUGUCCGGGGGUGUCACCGUGUCCAGAGGUGUCACCGUGUCCGGGGGUGUCACCGUGUCCAGGGGUGUCACAGUGUCCAGUGUCACCGUGUCCGGCGGUGUCACCGUGUCCAGAGGUGUCACCGUGUCCGGGGGUGUCACCGUGUCCGGGGGUGUCACCGUGUCCAGAGGUGUCACCGUGUCCAGAGGUGUCACCAUGUCUGGUGUCACCGUGUCCAGAGGUGUCACCGUGUCCGGGGGUGUCACCAUGUCCGGGGGUGUCACCGUGUCCAGUGUCACCGUGUCCAGUGUCACCGUGUCCAGGGGUGUCACCGUGUCCAGAGGUGUCACCGUGUCCAGUGUCACAGUGUCCAGUGUCACCACAUCCGGGGGUGUCACCGUGUCCAGAGGUGUCACCGAGUCUGGCGGUGUCACCGUGUCCUGUGUCACCGAGUCUGGCGGUGUCACCAUGUCCUGUGUCACCGAGUCUGGCGGUGUCACCGUGUCCUGUGUCACCAUGUCUGGCAGUGUCACUGUGUCUGGUGUCACCGUGUCUGGUGUCACCGUGUCUGGUGUCACCGUGUCCGGGGGUGUCACCGAGUCUCCAAGUCAUGAAGGGGCCGGGGGGUGGCUGGGCCCACUCGGGGACACCGGGGACAGUGGGGACACCACUGGGGACACCACUGGAGACACUGCUGGGGACAUUGGGGACACUGGGGACACUGCUGGGGACACUGCUGGGGACACUGGGGACAGUGGGGACACCGCUGGGGACACUGCUGGGGACACUGGGGACACUGGGGAUGGUGCUGUGGCAGUUGGGGACACUCUUGGUGACACUGGGGACAUUGUUGGUGACACUGAGAACACUGUUGGUGACACUGGGGACACUGAGGACACUCUUGGUGACACUGUUGGUGACACUGUUGGGGACACUGUUGGGGACGUUGUUGUUGUUGCCGGUGGCAUCGGCCGCCCCCAGCGAGAGCAGCAGCUGCCGGUGAGAGACUUCCAGAGC